rnacentral:rRNA from 1 species
UACGUAGGGCGCAAGCGUUGUCCGGAAUUAUUGGGCGUAAAGAGCUCGUAGGCGGUCUGUUACGUCCGCUGUGAAAACCCAGGGCUUAACCCUGGGCUUGCAGUGGAUACGGGUAGACUAUAGGCAGGUAGGGGAGAAUGGAAUUCCCGGUGUAGCGGUGAAAUGCGCAGAUAUCGGGAGGAACACCGGUGGCGAAGGCGGUUCUCUGGGCUGUAACUGACGCUGAGGCGCGAAAGCGUGGGGAGCAAACAGG